GCUUAUGGCCAUACCACCCUGAACACGCCUGAUCUCGUCUGAUCUCGGAAGCUAAGCAGGGUCGGGCCUGUUUAGUACUUGGAUGGGGGACCGCCUGGGAAUACCAGGUGCUGUAAGCU
rnacentral:rRNA from 1 species